UACGUAGGGGGCAAGCGUUGUUCGGAAUCAUUGGGCGUAAAGAGCGCGUAGGCGGCUUGGUAAGUCCGCUGUGAAAGUCCAGGGCUCAACCCUGGAAAGCCGGUGGAAACUGUCAAGCUAGAGUGCGGUAGAGGGUAGUGGAAUUCCCGGUGUAGCGGUGAAAUGCGUAGAGAUCGGGAGGAACACCAGUGGCGAAGGCGGCUACCUGGACCAGCACUGACACUCAGGCACGAAAGCGUGGGGAGCAAACAGG
rnacentral:rRNA from 1 species